rnacentral:rRNA from 1 species
GCGUGUGUGAAGAAGGCCCGAGGGUUGUAAAGCACUUUCAAUUGGGAAGAAAAGGGUUAGGUUAAUACCCUGACUCCUUGACGUUACCUUUAGAAGAAGCACCGGCUAACUCCGUGCCAGCAGCCGCGGUAAUACGGGGGGUGCAAGCGUUAAUCGGAAUCACUGGGCGUAAAGCGCGCGUAGGCGGCUCGUUAAGUCAGAUGUGAAAGCCCCGGGCUCAACUUGGGAAUUGCAUUUGAUACUGGCGAGCUAGAGUUUGGUAGAGGGAAGGGGAAUUCCGAGUGUAGCGGUGAAAUGCGU